AAGUAGAGAAACUUGUCUUUGAUCUCUGUUGUUGCCACUUGAGAAGCACUUGAGUACCUAAUCUCGAGUUGCCCUCAGCUGUCAAAAUUGACACUGAUGGUGGAAGAUAUCAAAUAUAUCAACAUCAGUAAUCCGAAUCUCCAGUCCCUCGAAAUUUCAAUCCCUUUAGAAGGAAUCAGUUUGUAAGUUCCCAGCUCGUUGGUUUCAGUUGCUGUUUCUUUUGAGAAUGAUAUUGCAGAUCGUAAAACUCGCAGCAAUGUUAGCUCCAGCAACUUGAACAGAUUCCUACUUGAUCUGCCCGAGUUCAGAGCCUGAAGUUUGGAAGUUUUUUACUCAAGGUUAUUUUGGCCAAAUCAUAUUGUAGCUGUUUACACUUGGAUAUGCAGAUCUGUGAAAUCAUAAUUUUACAUAGAGUUACUCCGAAAUGUGAGUGGCCAUACUGAUAGAACAAUAACCUAUAAUCAAUCGUUCUGUUUAGACACUAAAUUCUUGUCUACUAGACAUUUAGUGACUUUCAAUUGUAUUCAGCUCUCUGUUUAACUUUCAGUGUGCUUGCUUUUAGUCGUAGCUUCAUCUGCUGCCAAGUUUGACCUUUUAUUACUUGAUGUCUACUUGUUAUUUGCCAAUCGUAGAUGACCCUGCAUAUUUUUGCUGCCUGUUGUAGCAUUUUUCUGUUCGUGAGGUUCCAGAAGUGUUGCCUGAUCAAUGCACUCAUGUAAAAUCCGUCACCUUUGAGAUAAACUUCAGUGAUUCGAAGGAGAUCUUAGCCGUUUUGUGCCUCUUAAGGAGUGCCCAAAUCUUGUACAAGUUGAAUUAUUGGUUCUCAAGUCGGAUAGCAAUUGUGAGGAGGAUACUGUCGGGUCCUUCUGGGAAGUAUACUGUUUGCUUUAUCCACUCGGGCAAAUCAAGUUCCUAGCGGUGAAGAACAUCUUGGGGAUGAGAUCAGAGAUGGCCUUCAUAGCGUUUCUGCUCAACAAUUCACCAGGUCUCAGAGGAUUUCAGUGGAGGCAGCUUUCGUGGAGGAAGAAGGAAAGACGCUGCUAUCUGAGCUGUUCCAGCUUCCUUGAGCCUCUCCUCACAUUCUGUUCGCGUUUGAGCAUAGGUUUUGGAAAUUUGACCAUCAGUUCAAUGCCAAAGAACCGUCCAAAGUGGCAUGAAUCCACUGUGGUAUUUCAUUCAAGUCUAGGAGCUUGAUUUUUGCUAAUGGAGGAUUCGCAGGUGUUGUCACAAGAACUGACGGCUGCGAAAGUAAUGCAAUGCAGAUCUCUUGGGGAGUAAUGAGAAACUGGGGCGAGACCCAUCAUAUUCUAAGUGAAGCAAACUCACGCAGGCGAGUAGUAAUGGUGAAAGAUCUAAUUUACAAGGCUUAUUAUAGUGUGGCUAGAAACAAAAUGCAAAUUAUUAGAUAAUCAUUGAAAUCAUUGAAUUAAUACACCA